CACCUCUUAUUUUUCAGCUCCUUUUCGUUGUGCCCUAGCCCCUCUGAUAGAUAGAGACGAACAGAGUUAGAGGCGAACAGAGCUGGACAGAUCGAACGGGAGAGGCGAUGAAGAUCGAACGGAAAAGGUGACGAACGCAGCUGGACAGAUCUAACGGGAGAGGCGACGAACGCAGCUGGACAGAUUGAACGGGAGAGGCGACAAACGCGAGGGCGAGAGACGAAGACAGAGAGGCGACGGACGAUUGACGAGAUUGACAUGUCAACGAGUUCAAACAACAAUGCUGGAUUCUUUCAAAAUAAAAUAUGCAAAUGUGGGAAAAAAGCAGGAGUGUACAUAUCAGAAUCAGAGAAAAAUCCAAGGGAAGUUGUAUUUCAAGUGUGCAAAUAAGGCUUGUGACUACUUUGUGUGGGGAGUGCCUCCUACUGGGAAUGGAUCAAAUAUCCAAAAGAGCGGGGAUGAUUAUGAUUUUGCGAGAAACAAUGAAGUUGUGAAUAUCUUGGAAUGACUUGACGCAAACCAAUGAGAACGACUUGAAGCUAUCAAAUUCAUAAUUUUGACAACCAUAGUGAUGCUUGGUUUUAUCAUGCUAGUGGCGCUGCUCAAGUGAACUUGUAUUUGUACUGAGUGAAAACCACUACUUGUAGAACUUGUAUUUAGUUUUGAAACUUUUAUAUGUGCAUGUAAAAUCCAAACAAUGUUUAUUUAAUGAAGUUGCUAUGCUAUGUCAAUUGUAUUAAUUAAUGAAAUUGGAUGUUAUGUA